rnacentral:rRNA from 1 species
GUCUGGGAUUAGAUACCCCACUAUGCUUAGAUAUUAAUAAGAUUCAACUCCGCCAGAAAAUUACGGGCGAAAGCCUGAAACUCAAAAGACUUGACGGUAUUCCAUCUAUCUAGAGGAGCCUGUUCCAUAAUCGACACCCCACGAUAAACCUAACCACCCUUUGAUUCUUUACCAGCCUAUAUACCGCCGUCGACAGCAUGCCUUUUAAAAGAAAUUAAAGCAAGCCAAAAAGCCAUACACUAAAAAGUCAGGUCAAGGUGUAGCUUAUAGAGUGGAGAAAAUGGGCUACAUUAUUUAAUAUAAAUAAAACGAAUUAUCACCUGAAAACAACAUGAAGGCGGAUUUAGCAGUAAAUUAAACAAGAAAACUUAGUUUAACAUUGCCCUGGAAUAUGUACACACCGCCCGUCACCCU